ensembl:lncRNA
GGGGCGGGGCGCCCGGCAGCUCAGGCUCGGGAGCACCGGGGAGUGGGGCCUCUUUCCCCGCAGGGAGUUGGGGCGGGGGUUGCAGAAAGGCGACGCGGGACCCGGUACCCCAGGAGUGAGUCAAAGUCACGGGUGUGUCCAGAAGAAGCCCUGGUACAGGGAGCCGGGCGAUGCUGGGGCAGGAAAGGGGCUGGAGAGGUCCACGCGUGCGGGAGGGGGGGCUUUGAGGGGUCUCCAGAGCCAGAGGCACCCGGUGAGCCCCAAGGCCCGGGCUGGGCGGGGCGCGGGAGGCGGCAGGGCACCCCAAGGGAGGGGCGACGCGCUCGCAGCAGCCACCCUUGGCCUCUUGGCGCAGAAUCUGCAAGACCGCCGCGGGGCCGGGCCUUGCCUCAUCCCCCGGGACUGCUCCCCUUCCCCCAGCGCUUCUCGCGGCAACCCCAGCCCUCCCGCCCGGCCACGGAACCCUGCGCCCGACGCUUGCUCAGCAGUCGGGCUCGCCUGGAAGUGACCUCGCGUCAGCCAGGCGGACCCCGGGCCCUUGUCCUUGGUGCUGACCGAGCUGUCUCCUUCUCGUCGGCCCUUUCCAGAGCGCGGGGCCUGCCGCGCCACUAAGGAAUGUCUGGCCUCGCUGUGUCGGGGCGGGAAGAGGCCUCGGUGUCAGGUUGUCCACCCCUGUCGUUGAACCUAGGGGGAAACUGAGGCCCAGAAAGUCUGGACUCGAAUCCGGUGGGUCAAUUGACUCCCAGUCCAGAACGCCCGAAAGAACAGUUCAGAAGCCCAGGUUGGCAGAGGCGCUGCUAGCGGAAGGAAUCGCAACAGGGGACUCUGUGUAAAAGGAGCAUUUGCGGUGACCUACUUCAGGGGGCUCUUCUACACGUCCUGGCUGGGCUGACUGGUGCUGCGACCGCCAGGGAGGCUGCACUCCGCUAAAUAAAGCGCAGCCAGCCUUGUCUCCUCCACCUGACCUUUCACAAUCUCUACUACCUGUGGGUUCCCAGGUGUCACAGACGCCAGAGGCUGCUAAAAGUCCUCCAGUGGAAACAGGAGGCAGACUGCAUGGCUUCUCCCUGUCCUGUUCAAACACAGAAGCAAAUGUCCCACUUUUCUGCUUUAAGAGAUACCUAAAAUUCAUGUGGCCAUCGCAGGAAAUCACUGAACACCAGACAGAUCUGCAAGCAGAGAAUUCAGACCUCCAAGUGGAUACAAACAGUUAUGACAUUUUUCCUCACACCUGCUGUCUUUUAAUCUAAGACCUCUUCCUUUUGAAAAUUCUUAAUUUUGUGCCACGCCAGCACCCUCUGCUGGUACUAGUGUCGUCAUUCAGGUGGUUUCUGUGGCCCUGGAGUUGCAUUCUUUCCUGAAACUAACUUCUCUUACCUUGAAUCCUGGACUAGUGGAUAGUGCUCUUCAUUCCCUUCCAUCAAGACACACACACAAAUGAAGCAAGAUGAAGUGUAAACAGGUUGUGAGUUCAUUAAAAUCACAUUUCAGUUUAUUAUCCUUUUGCCCAAGCAACCCCUUUGUUUGUGUAUUUCAUAUUGCUUUGAAAUAUAGGAUAAUUAAAAGUGGUUUUAUUU